rnacentral:rRNA from 1 species
UACGGGGGGAGCAAGCGUUGUUCGGAUUUACUGGGCGUAAAGGGCGCGUAGGCGGUCGUGACAAGUCACUUGUGAAAUCUCCGGGCUUAACUCGGAACGGUCAAGUGAUACUGUCGGACUAGAGUACAGAAGGGGCAACUGGAAUUCUCGGUGUAGCGGUGAAAUGCGUAGAUAUCGAGAGGAACACCUGCGGCGAAGGCGGGUUGCUGGGCUGACACUGACGCUGAGGAGCGAAAGCCAGGGGAGCAAACGGG